CCUACGGGAGGCAGCAGUGGGGAAUAUUGCACAAUGGGCGAAAGCUUGAUGCAGCGACGCCGCGUGGGGGAUGACGGCCUUCGGGUUGUAAACCUCUUUCACCAUCGACGAAGGUUCGGGUUUUCUCGGAUUGACGGUAGGUGGAGAAGAAGCACCGGCCAACUACGUGCCAGCAGCCGCGGUAAUACGUAGGGUGCGAGCGUUGUCCGGAAUUACUGGGCGUAAAGAGCUCGUAGGUGGUUUGUCGCGUUGUUCGUGAAAUCUCACGGCUUAACUGUGAGCGUGCGGGCGAUACGGGCAGACUUGAGUACUGCAGGGGAGACUGGAAUUCCUGGUGUAGCGGUGGAAUGCGCGGAUAUCAGGAGGAACACCGGUGGCGAAGGCGGGUCUCUGGGCAGUAACUGACGCUGAGGAGCGAAAGCGUGGGGAGCGAACAGGAUUAGAUACCCUUGUAGUC
rnacentral:rRNA from 1 species